GACGAACGCUGGCGGCGUGCUUAACACAUGCAAGUCGAACGGAAAGGCCCUGCUUGCAGGGUACUCGAGUGGCGAACGGGUGAGUAACACGUGGGUGAUCUGCCCUGCACUUCGGGAUAAGCCUGGGAAACUGGGUCUAAUACCGGAUAGGAGCCAUUUUUAGUGUGAUGGUUGGAAAGUUUUUUCGGUGUAGGAUGAGCUCGCGGCCUAUCAGCUUGUUGGUGGGGUAAUGGCCUACCAAGGCGGCGACGGGUAGCCGGCCUGAGAGGGUGGACGGCCACAGUGGGACUGAGAUACGGCCCAGACUCCGACGGGAGGCAGCAGUGGGGAAUAGUGCACAAUGGGCGCAAGCCUGAUGCAGCGACGCCGCGUGGGGGAUGACGGCCUUCGGGUUGUAAACUCCUUUCGCUAGGGACGAAGCUGUUUGUGACGGUACCUAGAGAAGAAGCACCGGCUAACUACGUG
rnacentral:rRNA from 1 species